CCUACGGGGGGCUGCAGUGGGGAAUUUUGGACAAUGGGCGCAAGCCUGAUCCAGCCAUGCCGCGUGAGUGAAGAAGGCCUUCGGGUUGUAAAGCUCUUUCGGCGGGGAAGAAAUUGCACUGGCUAAUACCUGGUGUAGAUGACGGUACCCGCAUAAGAAGCACCGGCUAACUACGUGCCAGCAGCCGCGGUAAUACGUAGGGUGCGAGCGUUAAUCGGAAUUACUGGGCGGAAAGUGUAAGCCGGUGGUGAAAUCCCCGGGCUCAAUCUGGGAACUGCAUUUGAGACUGCACGGCUAGAGGAUGGCAGAGGGGGGUAGAAUUCCACGUGUAGCAGUGAAAUGCGUAGAGAUGUGGAGGAAUACCGAUGGCGAAGGCAGCCCCCUGGGCUAUUUCUGACACUCAUGCACGAAAGCGUGGGGAGCAAACAGGAUUAGAUACCCCGGUAGUC
rnacentral:rRNA from 1 species